CCGGCUGUUCUCUGUCCCUCGAUUAUUCGGCAGAAGCUUCAGUUCUGACAAGUGUCGAGAAACAUGAGGUCCCUGAUUUCUCUCAGUCUGCUGCUGGCUGUCUUCUCCUGUGUUCAGGCCGCUGAGGUGCUGACACAGCCGGCGACUCUCAGCGGGGAAACCGGCCAGACCCUGAGACUGACCUGCACAACCAGCGGGUUUAAUUACGGCACAUACUACUACUGGAUGUAUUGGUACCGGCAGUUUCCUGGGAAGCAGAAGGAAUGGCUCCUCAGUUAUUACAGCUCAUCCUACAAGGGAUUCGCGUCCGGUAUUGAAAACCGUGUCACUGUCAUCAGAGACGAUUCCAAUAACAUCUUCGAUCUGAUCAUCAAAAGCCCGACAGUGGAGGACACCGCCACCUAUUACUGUGCAGCAGACUCACAUGUCGACUACUGGGGACAAGGCACCAAGGUGACGGUGACUGACGAAAAUGUGUCACGGAAGCUAUCGCCCUAAGUUGUCAUCCUAACACAGACUUCCCCUGAAGACAUAAAAAUGCACAACUUGGCCAUUGCAGUUUGUUUUAUAUCCGGUUUCCAUCCGGACAAACUAAGUCUUAAAUGGCUGAAGGAUUGGCAGCCCAUCAGGUCAGGUGUUGUGACAUCUCCCUCAGUUAAAGAGAAGGGGACAUUCCGCGCAAACAGCCGCCUGAAUGUCCCCGCCAUAGAGUGGAGCAUUGGCGCGGUUUGCACCUGUCAGGUGUCCCAUGAAUCCACGCACACCAUCAUUGUCAAGAACAUCACUACGCCAUCAGUUGUUAUCCUCACGCAGACUUCCCCUGAAGACACCAAAAUGCACAACUUGGCAACUGCUCUCUGCUUAAUAUCGGGUUUCCAUCCGGACAAACUCAGUGUUAAAUGGCUGAAGGAUUGGCAGCCCAUCACCUCAGGUGUUGUGACCGCUCCCUCGGUUAAAGAAGACAACGGGACAUUCAGUGCCAACAGCCGCCUGACUGUAGCCACCAGAGAAUGGAGCAAUGGCGCGAUUUACACAUGUCAGGUGUCCCAUGAACCCACCCACACCAUCAUUGUCAAGAACAUCACCACGCCAUCAGAUAAAGUACUGCAUAAACCGUCGCCCCCAGUUGUUAUGCUCACGCAGACUUCCCCUGCAGACAUCAAAAUGCACAACAUGGCCACUGCUGUCUGCUUAAUAUCUGGUUUCCAUCCGGACAAACUCAGUGUUAAGUGGCUGAAGAAUUGGCAGCCCAUCAGCUCAGGUGUUGUAACCUCUCCCUCGGUUAAAGAAGACAACGGGACAUUUAGUGCCAACAGCCGCCUGACUGUGCCCACCAGAGAAUGGAGCAACGGCGCGGUUUACACCUGUCAGGUGUCCCAUGAACCCACCCACACCAACAUUGUCAAGAACAUCACUACGCCAUCAGGCUUGGGCCUGUCACUUUUCUUCACCAGGUUAUUUGAACACGCCCAUCGUAGAAAAUCUGUCAUAAGCUCAUGGAAUUCUCUGAAACCGAAGGGUUUUGCGAACAUUACUGGCCAUCAGAAUGUGUCUGAUAAUCAGAGCAUUGAACAGACAAAUCAGUGCCAAACCAAAGACGGAACGAAUAACACGAGAAUAUUGAUACCCGAGACUUUGAUGCUUACCAAGGGUGUGGAGCAGGGUAAGAUAAACAAGAGUGUGGUCAUUGAGGAACUCAUUGAUCUGGACCGUGAAAGAG